AUACGAAAGGUGCAAGCGUUGUUCGGAUUUACUGGGCGUAAAGAGAGUGUAGGUGGUUUAUUAAGUCGGAUGUGAAAUCCCGGGGCUCAACCUCGGAACUGCAUUCGGUACUGAUAGGCUAGAGUUUGGGAGGGGUAAGCGGAAUUCCGUGUGUAGCAGUGAAAUGCGUAGAUAUACGGAGGAACACCUGAGGCGAAGGCGGCUUACUGGACCAAUACUGACACUGAGACUCGAAAGCGUGGGUAGCAAACAGGAUUAGAAACCCCUGUAGUCC
rnacentral:rRNA from 1 species